rnacentral:rRNA from 1 species
GAUGAACGCUAGCUACAGGCUUAACACAUGCAAGUCGAGCGAAAAUAAUUGAGAGCUUGCUUUUAAUUAUUUUAGCGGCGGACGGGUGAGUAACGUGUGGGCAACCUGCCUUUUACUGGGGAAUAAUCACUGGAAACGGUGACUAAUACCGCAUAAUAUUCUUAGGAGGCAUCUUCUGAGAAGGAAAGGAGAAAUUCGGUAAAAGAUGGGCCCGCAUCUGAUUAGCUAGUUGGUGAGAUAACAGCCCACCAAGGCAACGAUCAGUAGCCGACCUGAGAGGGUGACCGGCCACAUUGGGACUGAGACACGGCCCAA